rnacentral:sRNA from 1 species
AUCGCGCCAGCCCAGGGAGGGAUGAGAACCCUCGACCAGGGUUCGACCACUGGCACAGCCAGUAGGACAGUCUGCGAGCCUCGCGAGCAGACUGCCCGAAGGGUGAGGCCCAUAGGGCCGAAUCCAUCCCUCUCUCACCGCCA